GAUUGACCUCGGAUCAGGUAGGGAUACCCGCUGAACUUAAGCAUAUCAAUAAGCGGAGGAAAAGAAACCAACAGGGAUUGCCUCAGUAACGGCGAGUGAAGCGGCAACAGCUCAAAUUUGAAAUCUGGGCCUCUUGGGCCCCGAGUUGUAAUUUGUAGAGGAUGUUUCGGGUGAGGUACCGUUCUAAGUUCCUUGGAACAGGGCGUCAUAGAGGGUGAGAAUCCCGUACGUGACCGGUGACCGAUCCCAUGUGAAACUCCUUCGACGAGUCGAGUUGUUUGGGAAUGCAGCUCAAAAUGGGUGGUAAAUUUCAUCUAAAGCUAAAUACUGGCCAGAGACCGAUAGCGCACAAGUAGAGUGAUCGAAAGAUGAAAAGCACUUUGGAAAGAGAGUUAAACAGUACGUGAAAUUGUUGAAAGGGAAGCGCUUGCAGCCAGACUCGCCCGGGGGCAAUCAACCGUUCUUCGGAUCGGUGCACUUCCCCCCGGUCGGGCCAGCAUCGGUUCGGGCGGUCAGAUAAAGGUUCUGGGAAUGUAGCUCCUCUCGGGGAGUGUUAUAGCCCAGGACGUAAUGUGGCCAGCCUGGACCGAGGACCGCGCUUU
rnacentral:rRNA from 1 species